UAAGCCUAUGCAUGGAACUGUCUUGCAUUUCAGUUCCCCGGGGAUAUCACUUAGGGAGCCUUGGCUCCACAGAUCAGAACGGUCCAUGCCCAGCUUCAGGAAACCGGCACAUCUAGUCGUUCAUCUGCCACCUGCUGAGGACAGGUUUAGGCAGGGGGAUCCCCCUCUUCAGCAGAGUAGUAUGUCUGACUGAUUUACUACAGCUUUACUCAGAUCAGUGCACUGUAUGAAGUGAGGACAAGCCAGGCUUUGCUGACCCCUCACAUCACUGAACAACCUGUAGUUUUUGUCACCAAGACUGUGAUGGAAUCAGGAACCCACUUCAACUCUGACAUCCUGUACACCAGGGAAGCAGCAAGCAGUGUUGUUGCCCAGCUUUGCAGGUCCCUUACCUUCCCAGUUGAACAUGUAGCCAUGUGGCAGGUCCCUUCUAGCACCACAGCCUCCAUGUGGAUCCCAGUAACAGAAGUUCCAGACAGACUGCGGUUGGCAGUCCUCAGUGCCCACCUGUUUCUGCACCCUGCAUAGAAGAAAGCCAAGCCCUGGAACAGAGCCAGGUUCUGAGAGCCACACUGCUGUUGUAGCUGAAGGCUGGAGCACUGGAUGCUGUAUAUGAGGCCUGCUCCACAAGUAAUGCCUCCUAUUUUAUUAUGUUCGCCCACAGCGUCAGUGGCGGAUGUUGGUGGUACAGCAGUAGAGGUUGAACCUCCCCACCUCCGUCCCCAUUACAUCCUGUUGCUGUGUGGCAGAUGGCAGCAGAGGGGCACUCUGACAGAAUGCCAUCUGACAUGGAGGUGUGCAUGAAGCAAAGGUGUGUCAUUGAAUUCCUCCAUGUGGAAAAAAAUGGCACCCAUUGACACUUGCCGGAUGGUUCUGGAGUCCAAACAGUGCACGUGAGCACUGUGAUGCAGUGAAUGUUGCAUUUCAGCAGUGAUGACAGUGAUGUGUCAGACAAGCCACGACCUGGACAGCCAUGCACAGCUGUCACACCAUGAAAUGAAGAGUACCUCCAUCAGCUCACCUGUGUGAAUCAGCACAUUAGGACCAGGGAACCGUGUAUGGAGGUGAAUGCUGGCUUCAAUGCGUUGGAAUACCACAAAGCUUGCAUCAGGUGUGUCCUACAAAUGCUCACACAGGAACAGAAAGAAUGCAGUCUGAGUAGGACCCAUUGAACCAAUACAAGGGUGAAGGUGAGUUUCCUGGAGAUGAGAUGUGGUUCCACCACUGCAAGCCAGAGUUUGACCAGCAGCCCAUGGAGUGGUGGCGUGUAAAUUCCCCAUAGAGAAAAGGUUCACGCAGCCCUCAGCAAAUAGGGUGCUGUGCAGAGCCUUCUGGGAGGGCAACCUGGACAAACCAGCGGCUCUGAGUGCUAUGCUGCCGUGCUGGCUGAGCUGAAGGCUCCAGCCUCCCCCUGGCUGUUAGGUCAGUGCUGUUACGUAUCACCGCGUGCAUUCAGAGCUGGGAAUUUCUGGGCUGCUUUAGACUGGUAAAUAGCCAUUAUACAGAAGCUUCAAUUUAAAAAAAAAGGGGGGGGGGGGGAAUCACUGACAGUGUUUUCGUGGACAUACCCACAUGUAUUUGCUGGAUUAACGCGCGCUCUCUGGCUCAGCGGGCGAGUGAGUGGUUUUAGAAACGCUCUGCGAUCCGCUGUCAAUGCACUGCAGCACGGCAGCGGGCACGGCAGGCGCGGAGCGCUGAGCGCUGCACGGAGCCCCGGGCGCGCACCGCUCUGUGCCAGCCCUGCGCACAGCAGCGCGUCGCGCGGCGCCGUUCCUUAGCGACGAUCUUGACGUACGGCCGCUCGAUUUCUUAAAGAGCUCAACUAUGAAAAAGCAAGACACGGGGAAAGCCGAAUGUAGCGGCGGCUCUGAGGAUGGGGAC
ensembl:lncRNA